GACGUAGGGCGCGAGCGUUGUCCGGAUUUAUUGGGCGUAAAGAGCUCGUAGGCGGCUUGUCGCGUCGUCUGUGAAAACCCGCGGCUCAACGGCGGGCUUGCAGUCGAUACGGGCAGGCUGGAGUUCGGUAGGGGAGACUGGAAUUCCUGGUGUAGCGGUGAAAUGCGCAGAUAUCUGGAGGAACACCGGUGGCGAAGGCGGCAUCCUGGACCAACACUGACACUGAGGAGCGAAAGCCAGGGGAGCAAACGGG
rnacentral:rRNA from 1 species